GCAUUUCUUGGGUUGUGCUCAGCUCUAGGAAGAGCAUGAGACUCUAUCUCAGGGCUGUGGGUUCAGGCCCCACAUUGGGCA